GUUUUAAUAGUUUAAUUAAAAUAUAAGUCUUGUAAACUUAAGAUAAUAUAAAUUUUAAAACU
rnacentral:tRNA from 2 species